rnacentral:lncRNA from 1 species
UAUAUCUCAAGAGUUAUUUGGAAGAGGAUUUUCAAAUUUUCACCACCAGAUUAAAAAAACUCUAGCUAUUAAUUUUAAAUUUUUAUUUCACUGUGUUGAGAAUGUGUUUUACUUUGGAAUUUGUAGAAAUCGUCAUUGUGCCUGAAUAUCAUGAUCAUAAUUUAAAUGUUCCAUGGGAUUAUUCUUUUCAUGAAUGCAAGGUUUUGACAGCUCCAAAUACCCGCGAAUACUUCCAAUCCAGGGGUCUUCCCCCGUGCUGGGCACUCCCACGCGCCAUCUCAUCAUCAUCACAGCUAUGCUACAUGGGUGGGACUCAGAUGCCCCCAUUUUCCAGAUAAGGAAACUGACACCUGCGCAGGUGGCCAGAGCCCAGCCUCCCUCCCUCGCCUGAGCUCCUGCUUGUGCCAAGUCCUGAGGAAGAUGCUGGACCAGCACAUAGUCUGAUGGGGGAAACAGGGUCACGGGUGGGCUGCCUCCACAGUCAGCCUUCUCCUACACUCAGAGAACACAGCGGAGUGAGUGCCCAGCCCUCCUGUGGGACCCUCAGCAGCUGCUCUGUGCUGGCCCUUCUGCUGAGUGCUGUGAGGGUCUCUGAGGUGGCCUGGUGAUGAGUCUGGAUUUCUACAAGUCACAGAAACCUGACCAUGAUGGCUUAAACACAGACAGUCUUGCAGGAGGUGGUUCAAGCUGUGGCAGCCUCUUGAGAUGUCCUUCCGAUUUUCUGCUCCACUAUCCUCAGCAUGUGGAUUUCAUCCUUACGGCACAAAAUGGCUGCUUCACCUGCAGGAGACUCCGAAUUCCAUUUCACUGGCCAGCAAUGGGUCAAGUGGUCCAGCUAGCCGAAGAGGAGUCUGGGAGCGGCAGUGUCCUUUGCAUCGGAGCCCCUCCGUGGCCCCUGGAGCCAGAGAGGCUGGACGUGUCCACUUUCGCCCCAGCGCCAGGUGCUUUUCCCAUCUUCUCCUAGCCACGCCGAGAGAGGCAGUGCCAGCACGGCCCUUUCCACAGAGGGGGAAACAAGAGGCUCAGUCGCUUUCCCAAGCCGGUGGCUCUGGGAUGUGGCACAGAGAAGCCGAGGUGCCUCCUGGGGCGGUUGUUUAUCGAGCCCUCAUGAUGUGCCAGGCACCGCCUGGACGCCACAGCAAACUCUCUGCCCUCAAGGGGCCCACAUUCCCAGAUGAGACAGGAGCCGGGCAUUAACCCAACCGAGACGGCAUGGAAGGCCACAGUUCCAGGUGGGGAGCUACAAGAUGGGGAGCCCUCCUGCCUGGGUCCCUGAGAGACCGCUUGGAGCAGAGCAGCUGCCGUGAGAGGAACUUCCCCCGGGUGGAGCCGCCAAGGAGACCGUGGCCCUCAGGGCUGGGACGGUGCCAUUCCUAGGGCUGAGCCCUGGCUCUCUACCAGGCACGGAGUGAGUGAGUGGACGCCCCCCCUGCCCGGGAGCUGCAUCUGUUUGUUGAGCACCCGCUGCCCACCUGACUGGUCACAUACCCGCCACGCUGGGGAUCCACCUGUGCCGCCGUUGGCUCCUGCGGUCAUCACAUGUGCUUUUUCCCAACUUGGUGCUGCGACAUCAUCUGGAGUCGGCAGGAUGCAGAAUUAGGGUCUGGGAACCACAGCCAAAGGGGAAGAUGCGGGUGAGCAGACCUGGCUCUCUGUGCCAGGAUGGACAAGGGGAACCAGCCAGAGCACUGGCCUCACCGUGGCCACCAACCGCGGUCACCGAUUCUGCACAGUACCGGAACUUGAUUGGUCCAGCAAGUAUCGGCCGUGCACCUGUUGGGCGCCAAGCUGGUCGCCAGGGCCCCGGGAGGGAACAGCCUGCCUGCGCGGCCUCCCUGCCUGGCCUUGCUCUCUCCCAUGGCCUCCCAUCACCCUGGCUGCCUUCUGGAGCUGUAGAUGCUGUGUCCUGCAGGCCUGCCGUCUUCUGGAUCUUUUCCUUCCUGUCACCUGCCCUUCAGAGCUGACCCUAUUUCCUCCGCUUCUGGGAAUCCUUCUGUCUCCUUCUGCUCAGGAGAGUCUCCUUCCUCUGGGUACCAAUAGGCUUGAGUUUCUGGACUACCACAUCCAAAACUAAGCUCCCCCCCCCCAAACCUGCUCCUCCUCUUGGGUCUCGUCUCAGUGGGGCCCCUCCAGCCAAGCAGCCCCUUGAGCCAGACCUGGCCUCCUCCCUUGCCUCCUCUCUCAGCUCAUCCCCCAUCAACAGUCCAUCCAUCACCAAGUCCUGCCGGUUCUGCCUCCUCAGCAUCUCUCAGACCUGUCCACUCCCCUCCGUCCCCACUGCCACCGAGCUGAUCCAGGCCACCCUCAUCUCAGCUCCUGGCUGGUCUCUCAGCCCCUAACCUGCCCUCUAUUCUCCCCUUGGCAGCGGGGCGUCCUUCCACUGUGCACUCGCUCCAGGUGGCAGAAGUCCCCAUGGCUCCCGGCUGCCUCGGGUGCAGGGGAAGUCAGCUGUCAGUCUAACCGGGGUUCCCCUGAAAGUGAAUCUGGGAUAUUCUCCCUCCUUUGGUUUCUGCAGAUGGAUUGAGGCAUGGAUUCUUUGUAUUUAUUUUUCUGGGGACGCUGGGUAUCCUGAAUCUAUGAUUUGGUAUCUUUUAUCAGUUCUGGAAAAUUAUCAGCCACCAUCUCUUAAACAUGGUGUCUACCUGUUUUUCUCUCUUCUAGGGCUCUAAUUAAACUUGCUCUUUUCUACCCUCUCCUUUUCCCCAUCUUUGUGUCUCUCUGCAAUGCAUUCUGGAUAUUUUCUUUUGACUUAUUUUCUUUUGACCUAAUUCUUUCUUUGGCUGUAUUUACUCCAUUCUUAGACUCAUCCAUCGAGUGUUUUUAACGCUUUAUUAUUUUGGAAUGUAACACACAUGCAUGAAAUGCAUAAAUUGUAAAUAUACAGCUUUGCAGAAGAGUGAAAAACAAAUGUACAGUUUAAUAAAUGAUUAGAAACCAAACAUGUAUGGGACUAUUACUGACAGGUCAAGAAGUAAAGUCUCUGAGUUUUUUCUUUUAAAGAUUGACACCUGAGCUAACAUC